UACGGGGGGAGCAAGCGUUGUUCGGAUUUACUGGGCGUAAAGGGCGCGUAGGCGGCGCGACAAGUCACUUGUGAAAUCUCUGGGCUCAACCCAGAACGGUCAAGUGAUACUGUCGUGCUAGAGUGCGGAAGGGGCAACUGGAAUUCUUGGUGUAGCGGUGAAAUGCGUAGAGAUCGGGAGGAACACCAGUGGCGAAGGCGGCUCGCUGGGCCGGACCUGACGCUGAGACGCGAAGGCGUGGGAGGCGACGAG
rnacentral:rRNA from 1 species